AUCGAUUACGUCGUAGAAUACGACGAUGAACGACGACUAGUUUACGGCGGUCGCAGUUUAACGCGUCUCAGCACAACUCGGUCUGUCCAUUAAAGAUUAUGCGAGUUCUUGACUCGAGGAGAAGCUGCUAUCGAACGUUCUCGACCUACCGUCCGCAAUGAUACAUCGGCUAUUACCCGGAGCACAGCACCUGUUAAUGCGUUUCUCUUCGGAUCCCCGCCUCGACAACACACCUGACUUCUAUGCGCCGCUUGUCGCAACGACGAAGAUGAAGACGACGACGACGACGACGACAACGACGACGACGACUAAGAGGACUAAGAAGACCACUACGACUACGCGACCACGACGAAAUCAUGAAGGGUGUUGCUACGGGUAUAUCGUCCUAUACCAAAGUAUAACACCGUGUAGAUAUAUUGAGACACGCGCCAACGCAUUCUAAUUAUCAUCUGCAUAAUGGUGGCUCCUCGCCAAGCUCCUCACCAAGACAAAGUUUCUCUAUAGAUAUAAUUUAAACCACGUAAAUUUCCUAGAAACGAUGCCGAAUUCCAUUUACUUUUCUUUAUUUCUAUCAUAAAUCAUCAUUUCGUUUAAUAUUAUUUUUAUAUAUGUAUAAGAAUUUUAUCGAACACGUAAACGUAAUAAUUUAGUACGAGUCUAAUGAAUAUCUUAUCUUAAUUUACAUACCUAUUCAAUUCGUAUUCAACGUUAACGUUAUACCAAAUUAUUUGUCGAUAGA